GAUGAAGAACGCAGCGAAAUGCGAUAAGUAAUGUGAAUUGCAGAAUUCAGUGAAUCAUCGAAUCUUUAAACGCACAUUGCGCCCCCCAGUAUUCUGGCGGGCAUGCCUGUUCGAGCGUCAUUUCAACCAUCAAGCCCUGCUUGUGUUGGGGUCCUGCGGCUGCCCGCAGGCCCUGAAAACCAGUGGCGGGCUCGCUAGUCACACCGAGCGCAGUAGCACAUCUCGCUCAGGGCGUGCGGCGGGCUCCAGCCGUUAAAGCACCCACCUUUCGCAAGGUUGACCUCGGAUCAGGUAGGAAUACCCGCUGAACUUAAGCAUAUCAAUAAGCGGAGGA
rnacentral:misc_RNA from 1 species